UGUUGGUGGUGAUAUUACAACUGUAGCGGUAGAGGAAAGAGGAAGAGGUAACAGUGAUGACAUAGGACAAGAAAAGAAGAAAGGAAAGAAUGGUGCAGCCGAGGGAGGUCGGGAGGAAAAGAGAGACAGGCGGGAAAGGAGGGAGCACGGGAGGAGGCGGACCGAGGCAGGAUCAGUGUGUGAGCAAGAGUGGUUCUGAGCGGUUGUUUCACCCUCCCUCCCUCUCUCUCCCUCGCGCUCACCUCGCACUGCCGAGGCCCACGCCCGCCGAGAUUAAUGCCUCCACCUCCCCUCCGACACUCACUCGGAGAGGUGUUAGUUGGAUAAGUAUUAAAAAUCUUAAUUACAGUCUGGAUUUGUCCCGAACUCGCUAGUGAAAAGUUUAAUCCACUUUAAUUUUUUUGGAGACGGCGCUGCAGCGUUUCAUGAUUUAUGUGUUUAUGAGUACCAAGCCGCCCGAGAGGGAGAGAGAGAGAGAGGAAAAGUUGUAGGAGCGUGAUAAAGUGAUAAGAAAAAAAGACGAGCUUCCGUGCACAGCUAGACACCAACCCUUGUUUGUGUACCGCGAGGGAAUUGAAAGGUCAUUUUAAUAGAACCAUUCCAUUCUUUCUGUUACGGAUACCGCGGUGAAACCAAGCUAGAAGGUAAACAGAACUCAGACAGCGGCUGGCGGCGCUUUCCUUCGUCCCCCUCCAGCAGGGGGAUGGUGUGACGGUGUGACGGAGAGGACGCACUGGAAUGGGGCACUAGAGAAGCGACGAGGUGGAGGGAAGGAGGAAGCGCCGUCGGUUCGUCCGCAUGAGUGUCGCGGAUAACCGAGGCAAUGACCAUAAGAGACCGCACAGACACGGCAGCACGGGCAGCAGGAAGUCAGCCCUCGCCCGAAAGCUCAGUCGCGGCUCAGUCCAGGACUCCUCCCAUGCCUCCAUCGACGCCCACGGCCACUCCAAUAACCCAGUCAAGGUGAGUCCGCCACUACUUGACUCAAAAGGGCAUAUCAAGAUUAUCACUUGGUUUAUCUUCCCACAAAUAUUUCACCCAUUGGAUUUCCUUUUUCAUCCUCCCCUUAGCUUGAGUUUCAGAAGAUUUUU